rnacentral:lncRNA from 1 species
GGCAAAGGUGAGUUCAUGCCCCUCCAUGGUUGGUUUUGAGGUUUUCCUUCAAAUCCUACAAGUUUCUAACAAGUUUUAACUUGGUUUUGAAGUUUUUGAGCAAAGAUCGAAGUUUGAAAGCUUGGAGACCUCCGGAACCCAUUUUCCCCAAAUCUCCAAGUUGGGUCACGUUUUCUCUCGAUCUUCAAGAGGUAAGCAUCGAUCCUCGCCUCCUUCGAUGAUUUAAACAAGUUUUAUGAAGGUUUAUGGGG